AAACAGAAGAAGUGUUUUAAAAUGUUGCAUAGUGCGUCUUUCAAAAGCUAAUGAACAAGGCUAAACAUUAGGCAGAGUUUUCAUGGUAAUCGAAUUAAAUUUUCAGUCACAUGAUCUUACCGGGUCAAACAUGCCCUCACGAAUCCCCCUCCAUUGCCUGAAAACAAUAUUGUUAUAAAUGUUGUCAUAUCAGGAUGUGUGGCAGAAUUGUUUUUAUUUAAUUAUUUGCCUGAUCGUGAAGUUAUACUUGCUUUGUGUCAGUUGUUUUGGCAAAAUUGCAAUGUGACAACUUUUCUAGCACUGAACAUUUUUUUCCGAUUGAUCCGUUUCUAAUUUGAUCCUAUUUCCUUGAAGGUGUGAUAGUACCAAAGAAAACAGAACAUACUUCUCAGUUAGGUUUUGAAGGAAGUCCAUAAGUGUCAGAUGUUCCACAUUGUUGAGCUUCCCCUCUUCUGUGGUUUCCAUCACUGAGGUUGCUCUGCUCCUGGUAGAAUUGCUCUGCUCCUGGUAGUUAUGUAAUUAUAUUGCAAAUAAUCAAACUUAAUAUACAACAAAUAUCAUACUGAAAUAAUUAUUAACUGUUAAAGAGUGGAGGAGCAUUGGCAACGUUGGGCCAAUUAAACAACUGCAACACAACAGAGAUGGUUGUGGUACGUCAACAUUGCCAAUGAUAGCAUCACUAUAACAUUUUAUUGGAUUAAUGUUGUAAUAUGAAAUGACAAGGUCAACUUACCAUCUCAUUGACAGCUUCAGAGGUCAGGUGGUCAUCCAUCACACAGACAGGCAGGUCUAGAGACUGGGACAAGGCUCUAUGGUCAUAACCAGGAGAGAAUGGAAACAUCAGAGCAGUCCCAAUGGCAGAAUCUAACCACUGUCUUCAUGUCAAAGACUCACUCACUCAUUUGCUUUGUCAAACCUACCCCUUAGAAUGACUUCGAUAUUAACACUGAAUAUAUUUUGUUAUUAAGAGAUCUCUCAAUAAUAAUUCUCACAAUAGCAUAUUGGUAGUAGUCAGUGACAUAUUAAAGCUAAGCAGGGCUGGGUGUAGUUAAAACCCUGGAUGGGGUUCGAUCCCGGGCUGAGGUGCUGCCUAUUGUUUUUUUCUGAAAGUGUAUAUAAUGUUGAAAAUCUGACAUGGUUUCAAAGGUACAAAUUCAACCUAUUUUAUAACAAGGUUUGGCUAUGCUGAAUUUAGUUUACAAUGAUGACAUCAUCCUGUGGUUGAAAUUUCACCCUCAAAACAACAGUUAAGCCUAUACCCCAUUAUAUCCACUACCCCCCCCCCCCACACACACACUUUAUAUUUUACCAAUAUAUAUGCAGCCCACCAGCCCUAAAGCAUGAACAUGUUUUUUUGCUAGAAAAUGUGGAUUAAGAGAAGCAAAAUGAUCCUUUUCGCUAGUUUCAUCUAAAUGGAAGGGCAACAUGACAUUGACAAACUUUGACAUAUCUGCUUUCACCGGGAUUUAAAAACCCAGGCUUUCCUAAAAUGUUUACCUCAGCCAGUCUAGAACCCAGGUGUGUCUACAAAACACAUGCACUCCUCCAUAAGGUUCAUGGCUUGCCUAUUGUUUUAUCCCAGUACAAGAGGGGCAACUGGAUUCAGGAUUAAACACAAGCAGUCUUUAAGGUAUAUCUUAUUACAGUUUAGGCCUACCUUAUUAUUUUCUUCCAUCUGGCAAUAUCAUUUUAAGAAAUGAAAUCUGUUUUGUUGCUCGUAUUAUUAGUAACUGAAGGAAAAUACAGCUGUAGAGUACAAGAAUCAGCUACUUUCUGAAGGGAAGCCAAGCUCAUAAGCAAUUUAGAACCUACAGACAAUUAUGACAAAGUUGGAACGCAUGAAUGUGUCACAAACGCCUUGUGGUCACAUGUUAUUUUAGGGCGUGGCUCCGCAUUCGUGACCGGUUCUCUUAUUUCUAUUUCCCGGUAUCCGUUAGUGCUGGAAUUUGCGAUUAAUACUUUUCUCAUGCCGAAACCGGAUUAGAUACAUACCGGUAGUUAAAUGACAAAAAUUAUGAUAUUCGCAAUUUCAUUAAGCAACAACACAAACAUAAAUAUCUACAAUUUCGAAAUAUGAUUUUGUCAUCAGGUCAGUACCAUUUGUUUGAUUUUGUGGACCCACGACUAGACUUUAUCCAUGUUAGCUAGUUGCUAGCGACGCUAGUCAGCAUAGGCUGCCACGUGAUAAACAGUUCGCAUUAGGGAAUUAGCUACCUAGCUAGCCAGCCUAACAAGCUGUCACAUCCAGUGGAAACCGAUGCAACCCUGCUGCCAAAUAAGGGCUAGCUCGAUGACCCGUGGUAACAGUGAGGUCCCCAUGAGUUUCAAGGCUUUAAUAAGUGCUAUCGUGCAGAAAAAGCGAAUAAAAUACUGGUUGAUGAGCUAGCUAAAUUAGCAAGACGGAUAUGACCGUUAACAGCGUGCAUGCACAAAUGCAUGACGACACAUUGAAUAUAAGUGAAGCAGGCAUGCAGAACGAGAUCGCCCCACCAAGCCAGAUAGUAGAGGGGUGCAACAACGCUGAGACACAGAGGUACUUCAAAUCAGUGCUUAAUUUGAGCAGGAUCAUGCCAGAACAGGAUCCGGCACCUUUCCGUUCUGGACUGUUUUGUUCCGGAACCUAUUUGGACGAAUCCGGUACCUCUCGUGCCAUGAAAAAUAAUUUUCACUUUUUGCUAUGUAACAAUUAUAAUAAAAGCGAUCAAAGUUCAUUCGAGUUGCCUCUUCGUCAAUUAUCCUGCCCCCUCAUCUCUCCAGAGUUGCACUUCAUCAUUUGUUUCCUUAUAGAAUCAUAGCUGCAUGAAGGGUUCUGGAGGAAUUUUCUAAAGUUACGGAAUUACUGCUGUCUGUUCAGAAAUAAAUUAAAUCAUUCAGAAUAGCCUAAUACGUCACGAGAAGCCCUAUAAUUUAGCUACAGAGGACCAAUAGCUUCUUUUUUUUGGAAAGCGUUUUUAGGACUAAUUUCCUCCUCAUAUUGUAGCCUACUAUAUGUUUCUCCACAAACCUAGGCCUAUAGGCUAUUGAUGGAUUCAAGACAAGGUCGUUUUUAAAAAAUCUCAGAUACUAAAUUUGUCAGUGUCAAAGUAGCCUGCCAUUUAGAUCAUUUGUGCGGAUUAAACAAUUAUAAUGCCAAAGUCU
ensembl:lncRNA